UACAGAGGGUGCAAGCGUUAUCCGGAUUUACUGGGCGUAAAGCGCCCGUAGGCGGCUUGAAAAGUUGGACGUGAAAGCUCCUGGCUUAACUGGGAGAGGCCGUUCAAAACUGUCAGGCUAGAGUAUGGAAGAGGAGCGUGGAAUUCCCGGUGUAGUGGUGGAAUGCGUAGAGAUCGGGAGGAACACCAGUGGCGAAAGCGGCGCUCUGGUCCAAAACUGACGCUGAGGGGCGAAAGCGUGGGGAGCGAACGGG
rnacentral:rRNA from 1 species